rnacentral:sRNA from 1 species
UGUAGAUGUAUUGCUUAGGGGCAAGCUGCCCAUGAUCUGUUGUUGAUCUCUGCCUUGUGUCCAAUUGGGGCUUUAAACAAUGGUUCACUUGUGCAAAGAGAAGCUUCUUGGAUGAGGGAUUCCUCCGUCUACCACCAAGCAAUCGGAGACAAGGCGGGCGCAGUAACACUGAAAACAUGCCAACUGUGCCUCACACAUAUUGGAUACAUGGAACUGAACUCCUCCUAAUCUCCACUUCGCAUUAUUACCAGCACCUGGGCACCGUGGUAGUCGGUUCUCCCAGACCCCAGCAGGAAAAUAAUAAGAAGGAACCUGGAGUCCGUGCACAGCAUUCAAGGACUGAACCAGCGUUGAACUAACAAGAACCAUUCUUUUGAAAGGCACCUAGAGAUUUCCUCGCUUGCAAAGUUGCUCUGGACUGAAAGUUAUCAUAGGAACUGUGAAGCUACCAAGGGUGAGCAGAAAAGGAGCCAGCAUUGCUCCAAGGCAGCUUCUUUCUGAGGAAGGCCCUUCAUAAGAAACAUGCCAACUGUACCUCACACAUAUUGGAUAUCCAAGUCCAGGUAUGAAAUCUUCAGUCUUCUGUGCAGGUCACCUGGACCUCCAUGAUCCUUCAACACUCAGAGGAAUUACAAGUCUCACAACCUGAACAAAGUCAGUACACGUCAGCGCCGCUUGUAAAUCAUGCCAGACGUGACUUUUGUCGAUUCGUUUUGUUUCUAGCAAGAUGGAAAACCAUUAAUACGGUCUUUAACUUUAAAGCAGACUUGUGAGCGCCGAGAUAAAAUACUAAGAAUUCUCUCUGACUGAACGAAGAAACAAUAAAACGAGCUGAUUCUAUUUGUGGAUAACAAAACCCUUCUCAAGAAGGAGCACACACUUCCUUAAGUGCUAAUCAUCCUACCCAGUCUCACUCACUGACUUAAAAAACAGGUUUCUCACAGUGUCUGAAGUAAGGCAGACUUGCAAUAAGAAGGUAUAUAAUUCCUUUCAAAUAAAUGUGGGCACUGACUCUAGUCUGUGUGUCUGGCCAAGGGCUAUAAAGGGCAUCCAUUUGGUUAUACGCUUACGCU